rnacentral:rRNA from 1 species
UAGCCUCGGCGUACCGCUCAGUAACACGUGGGUAACCUGCCCUAUGCUGGAGAAUAACCUCGGGAAACUGAGAAUAAUGCUCCAUAGUCCACAAUGCCUGGAACGGUUUGUGGAUAAAAGCUCCGGCGGCAUAGGAUGGGCCUGCGCCGUAUCAGGUUGUAGGGGGUGUAAAGUACCCUCUAGCCAUCAACGCGUACGGGUGUUGAGAGACAUUGCCCGGAGAUGGAUUCUGAGACACGAAUCCAGACCCUACGGGGUGCAGCAGGCGCGAAAACUUGGCAAUGCGAGAAAUCGUGACCAGGGAACUCCAAGUGUCUAGGUUAAUACCUAGUCUUUUCUUGACUCUUCAAAGGUCUAGGAAUAAGGGGUGGGUAAGGACGGUGCCAGCCGCCGCGGUAAUACCGGCGCCUCAAGUGGUAGUCGCUUUUAUUGGGCCUAAAACGUCCGUAGCCGGUUUGGUACAUUCGUGGGUAAAUCAAUCCGCUCAACGGAUUGAAUUCUGCGAGCACGGCCAGACUUGGGACCGGGAGAGGUGUGGGGUACUCUCAGGGUAGGGGUAAAAUCCUGUCAUCCUGAGAGGACCACCUGUUGCGAAGGCGCCACACUAGAACGGAUCCGACGGUCAGGGACGAAACCUAGGGGCACGAACCGGAUUAGAUACCCGGGUAGUCCUAGGUGUAAACG